CCCAGCUGAUUUUUGUACUUUUAGUAGAGAUGGGGUUUUGCCACGUUGACCAGGCUGGUCUCGAACUCCUGACCUCAGGUGAUCUGCCCUCCUCCGCCUCCCAAAAUGCUGGGAUUACAGGCAUGAGCCACUGCUCCCAGCCCCUAAACACUUUUAAACUAUCAGAUCCUGUGAGAACUCACUUACCAUCAUGAGAGCAGCAUGAGAAAAACCACCCCCAUGACCUAAUCACCUCCCACCAGGUUGCUCUCUUGACACAUGGGGAUUACAAUUUGAGAUGAGAUUUGGAUGGGGACACAGAGCCAAACACAAUUUGAGAUGAGAUUUGGUUGGGGACACAGAGCCAAACACAAUUUGAGAUGAGAUUUGGUUGGGGACACAGAGCCAAACACAAUUUGAGAUGAGAUUUGGUUGGGGACACAGAGCCAAACCAUCUCAUUGUGUGUGUGCUGUUGUGUUUUUGUUCUGGCACUUGGAGAAAACAGCACUGUUUACCUCCGUGGAAAGAUCCCUCCAACUGUAAACUGUGGCUGUAUGCUUGGGAGGUAAGGGGUACAAGAUUAAGUUUCCAUAUUCAUUUAACUGAUCAGAUUUUUGUGUUUAGUUUUGUUUUUGUUUUUCAGAGACAGGCUCUUGCUGUCAGCCAGGCUGGAGCACAGUGGUGUGAUCACUCCCAGAUAGCUGGGACUAAAGGCACAUACCACCAUGCCUGGCUCAUCUUUUUUUUUUAUUUUUAUAGAGACAGGAUCUUGUUAUGUUGCCCAGGCUGGUCUCGGACUCCUGGCCUCAAGUGAUCCUCCCACCUUGACCUCCCAAAGUGAUGAUAUUACAGGUGUGAGCCACCACACCUAGUUUCUAAACAGGUUUUUUUUUUUUUUUUUCCUACCAGUUAGAAACAAUAGCUUCUCUCUUGGGGUGAUGACUUUCAAUUGAAACACAUUUUCAUAGAAUAAGAUUUUUUUCCCCCAAAAGUCAGUAUUUCUUAAACUCCUGUUAUUAGACCAUGAAUAUUUUUCUCAUUGUGAACAAAACUCCACUUUGCAACAUUGCCUCUGCGUACAGUGGGGAGCAAGACUUUAAAAAACUGUUGCUAGCUUUACGACAUCUGCAGAAUUAUCAGAAUUCACCAUGGAGGUCUGUUUGAUGUUGCAGUUAAAAAUAUUAUCCACGAAGAAGUUGAAAAAUAUGAAAAGCAGUAUCGAGGCAAGGAGCUUCUGGGAUUUGUCAACUACAAGACAUUUGAGAUCAUCGUGCAUCAGUACAUCCAGCAGCUGGUGGAGCCCGCCCUUAGCAUGCUCCAGAAAGCCAUGGAAAUUAUCCAGCAAGCUUUCAUUAACGUGGCCAAAAAACAUUUUGGCGAAUUUUUCAACCUUAACCAAACUGUUCAGGUAAGCACCCAGAGUUCACUUGCUAGUCACCUGGACCACUGGCUGUUUAACCUUGAGAGAAGUUGGAUAUUCACUGUCAUUUGGAACCAUGAGGCCAGGGAUGUAAUGGCAGGCUGGCGAGGCUGGCAGGGCUGGCGGGGCUGGUGGAGCUGGUGACUCCAGGAGCACCUGCCUGCCUGGCUUCUGCUCAGGAGGCGGCUUCACUCCCCAGGAGAAAUGAAAUGCGGCCCGUGCCCUGCCAUCUGUUCUGCACGACCUUACGCAGGACGUGGGGCUCCACCGAGGACUGGCUGGUAGGCUGAAUCUUUUUCAAGCAUAAAGCACGGCAUUGUUUACUAGUCCUACUCCCAAAUUUGUAUGUUUGACUCAAAGAUGUUGCCGUAGCUCUGUGGGUUUCUACUUAGCAACUCUUCCCCCGAGUUACCUUCAGCAAAGGCAAGAGAGGGCAUGUGGCACUUGGGCUGUAGAUAAAAUUCCUCUUCUGCCCAGGCCUGGGCUGCUGGAUUGAAAUCUCAUUCCAUAGUGCAGGCAAGCAAGAAGGACAAUUUCUGUGAUUUUUCCGUCAUAUAAAUUAAUUUCUUCUUUCACCCUUUUUGCCUGUUGGUGAAAAUUAAAUCCCAGUUCUGACUCCCGCCCACUGUCUCAGGGGCUGUGUCUGAGUCCCGGGUGCCUGCUCAUGGGGUGGGUGACCUGCCUGGUCCCCAGUCACCAAGAUGUCCAUUGUCCUUCCCGGGCCUUGGUCCCCUUGGUCCCUGAGCUCCUGCCCAGCCCCGCCGGGACACAGGAAGCACUCGGCUGCAGGCCCAACUGCUCUGGGCCAUGGGAACUCUGGCAUCCACCAAGGGCCUUCACCUCUUUUGUGCUGCCCUUGGAUAGACACAGCCUUGCAGCAGCUCCCGGCUCCUCACCAGGGACUGCGGGGCUCUCCAAGGCCAUGGCCUGCACACUGCCCUCAGCCACAACAGAGCCUGGGGGGCUCGCUGCCUCCCGUGUCACAAAUCUUGAGGAGUGCGGCACAGGCCACUUCUGCUCCCAGAGGGUCUACUGUCCUUUGUUGUGUAGACCGAAAGUGACUGAGGCAGAUCUGCCUCAAUCCGAGAUUUAUUUUGCCCAGGUCGAGGAUGUACCUGGGAAAAAGAAAUACAAGUUCCAGUGCUAUCUGUGACCUGUGCUUUUCCUAAGAGGGUUUAGGGGAACUUCAGUAUUUAAAAAGGAAAGAGCAAGCAGGUGGGGAAGAAAGAAGGAAGGAGGGUAGGCACCUGAGGCAAUGAGGCAAUGAGGCAGAGGUCACCCUCGUGUAAGGCUCUGACCAGCACUCAGUGAAUCUAUGUGUUAAAUGUGAAAAGAAAGGCGUGGAGAGAAAGUCAAUCAUGCAUUCAUCUCGCGCUCAGUAAAUCUACAUUUUACAUCAGAUAAAGUGCUCAUGUGAAAUCACAGCUUCUGUUUGGGAACAAAAGAAAGGCAGUUAACUUUCCCUUUAGUAUAGUAAGUUUGGGGUCCCAAGAAUCUAUUUUUCUUUCACAGUUGUCACAUAUACUC
rnacentral:sRNA from 1 species